UUCCUUUUUCUCUCUCUAUCUAUAAAAAGAUGAAUAGAAACAACGCUCUGCUUGGUCAAAGUUUCCACACGUUCUCCUGAGGCUGAACAGUGAGGAGACAUGGAGGCUGUGGUUGGACUGUUGGUGAUGCUGCUCGGAGUCUCUCAUGGUAUUGAAACCCACUGUGAUGGCAGACAGGAUGGAGAUGCAGUGUUUUGGAGCUCUGGGAGGAACUGUGGUGCUCCAGCUGAUGGACAAAGCCUCAGAAAUAUUUAAAUACCAAUGGAAUAAAAACAAAACUUGAAAAAUACUUGACGGGAGAAAGGAUAAGAUUGUGUCUAAUCUGAUAGAGGGCAGAUCCAUCUUUGCUCCCAGUAAUGGAAUGUUUAGGAUAAAAAACCUGAGAAUGACUGAUGGUGGUGAAUAUACCCUUCAAAUCUUUGAUUCAGAUGGAUGUGAAUCAGAACAACGGACUCUACAAUUGUCCAUUCAAGAAAUGUUAUCAGUGUCUUUCGGGAGCGGCAACUGUUGCCAUGAUCCACUGGCUGUUGGAUGAUCAGAGGAACAGAGCCUCCAGAAGGCAUGGACGUUAAGGCGCCUUUUAGCGUUGAUGCACCAGAGAAAGACGGACAGAGGGCUGUACAUGCAGUUAAAUGAUGCCACCCCUAUAAUGCUGUCGUACGGUAAUCCAGACGUCUGCGUCAAGAAGGACUUUCGUCUAAAUCGAACAACUGUGGCAUACUUGAUUCAAUUAAUUAC